rnacentral:rRNA from 1 species
GUGAGGAAUAUUGGUCAAUGGGCGCAAGCCUGAACCAGCCAUCCCGCGUGCAGGAAGACGGCCCUAUGGGUUGUAAACUGCUUUUCCGGGGGGAGAAUUUUUCCGUCGUGACGGGAAUUGACGGUACCCCGGGAAUAAGCAUCGGCUAACUCCGUGCCAGCAGCCGCGGUAAUACGGAGGAUGCGAGCGUUAUCCGGAUUUAUUGGGUUUAAAGGGUGCGUAGGCGGAAUGAUAAGUCAGUGGUGAAAACCUGCAGCUUAACUGUAGACUUGCCGUUGAUACUGUCAGUCUUGAGUGUGGUCAAGGUAGGCGGAAUGUGUAAUGUAGCGGUGAAAUGCUUAGAUAUUACACAGAACACCGAUUGCGAAGGCAGCUUACUGGGCCAUUACUGACGCUGAUGCACGAAAGCGUGGGGAUCGAACAGGAUUAGAAACCCUUAGUCC